GAGGGUAUAGCUCAAGUGGCAGAGCACAUGCUUAACAUGCAUGAGGUCCUGGGUUCAAUCCCUAGUACUUCCU
rnacentral:tRNA from 1 species